AGGGUAUAGCUCAGUGGUAGAGCACAUGCUUGGCAUGCACAAGAUCCAGGAUUCAAUUCCCAGUGCCUCUG
rfam:Camelus ferus unplaced genomic scaffold scaffold1713, whole genome shotgun sequence.